CUGGGCACUGGUGCUUGCCUCAAGGAGCACCCCCUCUGCAGGAAGACAGACGUGAGGGCUGGGAGGGUGCGGAUGCACCAACGGCUGCAGGACCUCAAGCCAGAGGGGAUCAGCUCUUCACAGGGCACUGGGCCAGGCUUCCCAGCACCCAGGGACCCUGAGCUAGCCUUAUAAUUAAAGAUUUACACACAGCUGGAAGAAAUCAUAGAGAAGCCGGGCGUGGUGGCUCAUGCCUAUAAUCCCAGCACUUUGGGAGGCUGAGGCGGGCAGAUCACUUGAGAUCAGGAGUUCAAGACCAGCCUGGUGCCUUGGCAUCUCCCAAUGGGGUGGCUUUGCUCUGGGCUCCUGUUCCCUGUGAGCUGCCUGGUCCUGCUGCAGGUGGCAAGCUCUGGGAACAUGAAGGUCCUGCAGGAGCCCACCUGCGUCUCUGACUACAUGAGCAUCUCUACUUGCGAGUGGAAGAUGAAUGGUCCCACCAAUUGCAGCACCGAGCUCCGCCUGUUGUACCAGCUGGUUUUUCUGCUCUCCGAAGCCCACACGUGUGUCCCCGAGAACAACGGAGGCGCGGGGUGCGUGUGCCACCUGCUCAUGGAUGACGUGGUCAGUGCGGACAAUUAUACACUGGACCUGUGGGCUGGGCAGCAGCUGCUGUGGAAGGGCUCCUUCAAGCCCAGCGAGCAUGGUGAGCAGGGCGGAGUGCG
rnacentral:sRNA from 1 species